AACUUUGUCCGAAAGUAUUGUUUAGUUUGCUGAGCACAGAGUUUGGUUUUUCAUGUUGCCUACUUUAAUUUUUCCAUUUACAGUUGCCCGACAUAGCUAUUUUCUUCCCUGCUGGAGGUUCAUUCGAUCAAAUAAUACACUUUGCUCAGCUAGGUGACCGAAAAUGGUCUGGCUUCCGCAAGUACAAUUAUGGAGCCACCAAAAAUCGAUUAAGAUACGGACAAGAUACGCCGCCCAACUAUCAGCUUUCUCAUAUUGGGACGCCAAUUUAUAUGUACAAUGGCGAUGAUGACAGCUGGUGUACAUCUGAGGAUAUGAUGUUAUUAAAAAAUAGCCUUCGAAACGUGGAGAAAUUUUACUUCUCACCUCGAAAGGACUUCAAACACCGUGAUUUUGUUCUCUCAGAUACAGCGUAUGAAGAUGUAUGGAAAGAAGUACUCACCGACUUACAACUAUUCCUGAACAAAUGAAGUUGUAAUCCAAACGCUUUCUGUUUACCUGUGAAUUAAACAAGAUUUAUCUUGAAAA